rnacentral:rRNA from 1 species
UACAGAGGGUGCAAGCGUUGCUCGGAAUUAUUGGGCGUAAAGGGUAGGUAGGUGGUCUCGUUUGUCGGGGGUGAAAGCCCGGGGCUUAACUCCGGAAGUGCCUUCGAAACGGCGAGACUAGAGUCUUGGAGAGGAUUGCGGAAUUCCUGGUGUAGAGGUGAAAUUCGUAGAUAUCAGGAGGAACACCGGUGGCGAAGGCGGCCACCUGGACGGUCACUGACGCUGAGACGCGAAAGCGUGGGGAGCAAACAGG